CUUAAUUUCUCUUUGUCAAAUCAGUUCUAUAUAAACGUAUAUAUACAUGUGGUGUUGUGUUUAUAUGGAUUAAAUUGAUUUAUAUAAUCGAUUUAUGUGUGCUUGUAUGUAUAUAAACUGAUUAUAUGCUGGUUUUUGAAAUUUGAAGGUUGAUUGAAUUUUUGAGAUUGAGAUUGGUGUUAGUAAUCGUAUGAUUGAAUUGUGUGCUUAAUUGAUAUUUGAAUUGGUUGUUGUAAGUUGAUUAUAAAUAGUGCGCCAAUUAGUAGUGUAAUCGGAUGACUUGGGUACUUGAAUUAUGGGAAUAUAUAACUGAGUAUUCAAGCUUUAAGGUCUGAGAUUUUUGUAAAUGUUUUCAAAGUGGUGUUUUAAGAGUUUAAGUAUUGGGCUAAAAAAAAAUUUUGAUUUACACAUAUUCGGUUGAAUUCUAGAUUGCUGUUGAUCUGUUUUGAAUUACAACUCUGGGAUCAUAGAGUUGAAUUAUAUGCUUAAUAUUUGUGUGGUUAUGUGCUCCUUAGAGUCUAGUUUAUGUGCGCGAAAGAACCGAAUCGAUUCGAUUAGCGAGCUAGGAGAUAUGACCGUUUUAGUAUAGCAUGGUGCUGAAAAUUCUGGGCAGGUUUGUCCUGUUCCAGGCUCUGUUUUACAGCUUUAAACUUGGAUUUUCUUUCUGAAAAUUUUACUGUAGGUUGGAAUAAUAUUUAGGAGUGUCUCAUAAAAAUUUCGUAUUAAAAAGAUAAUUUUUCAAUUUAUUAAAAAUCAUAGACCGAGGGCUGUUUGAACUAUUUGUUCUAUUUUUCUUUCUUUGCUAGUGCAUAGUAUGAGGUUAUACUUGACUAAUUGCAUAUGAUUGAUUAUUACAUUGAUUGGCUCGGUUAACCUUGUAUAUCUAAUUAAAAGUGUUUUGCGUAUAACAAGUUAGCAAUCCUGCUAAAAGAUUUUAUUAUAUGUUUACUACAAGUCAAGACAGAUUUUCUUAUGUGUUUACUGCAAGUCAAGGGAUCUUUUUAUAUUAAUAAUUCAUGUGUUAGCAAUAGUAUUGGUUGGUUGUUGGCAUUGCAAACAGGUGGAUAAGCUUAUAAACAGAGGAGAUGCUGCCGAAUUUUCGUUAGAAAUUAUAUGGAUUUAAUGCCUAUAAAAAGGGUUGUUUGUACAACUAUGUGCUAUGUGUUUAUGUGACUGUGGUAUGUAUAUGCGAAGGGUAGAUAUAUAUAUAGGUCUUAAUGCAAUUCAGGGUUAGUCAAUAUGUCUAAUCCGACGACUGAAAUACUAUUUUAUCAUCGUAUAGAAUUGAAGACAUUGACCGAGGCAUUAAUCGAGAAGUGAUUGAAAGGGGUAUUCAGAAAUAGCCAAGCAGAAUGUUACAAGUUGAAGUAGGACGGAGAUUUGUUAUAGAUAAAAGUGUGUCAGAAGCUGGCAGAAAGGAAUGAUUAUGCGGUAUAUAGUGUUACUAGGAAUCUGAGCUAAACUUUGGAGUUAAGAAUUGAAGACAUUGACCGAGGCAUUAAUCGAGAAGUGAUUGAAAGGGGUAUUCAGAAAUAGCCAAGCAGAAUGUUACAAGUUGAAGUAGGACGGAGAUUUGUUAUAGAUAAAAGUGUGUCAGAAGCUGGCAGAAAGGAAUGAUUAUGCGGUAUAUAGUGUUACUAGGAAUCUGAGCUAAACUUUGGAGUUAAGGCAAGUACUUCUACCUUCUCUCGCAAUUUAGAAGCAAGUAUUUCUACCCUACUCCUCUAGUACCUAUAGAUACUAAAACCUUCUUUAUAUCAUGAUUCAAAUUAUUUGCAAUUACUUUCUUGUGAAGCAUAUCUAGUACUUUUAAACUUUUUGGUUGAACGGAUAACACUUUUGGUAUCAACUCUACACUAUGAUAUGCAUAAAGAAAUUGUUUUAACAAAAUGUUAUUCUGGCUCUUGAAUUACAUGAUGGAACUGCAGAUUGUUUUAAAAAUUAAACUAUUGGGUUGUUUUUGCGUAAGAGGCUCGGGCACCGGCCCAGCGUGAAAGGUGGCUCCUUAAGCCCGGAUUACCGGAAUUCGUAAUAUUUGUCAACCUUGCUGAAUAAGCUUGGUUUAUGGACUAUAGCAUGACUGAUCAUCUGUUAUAGCCAGGUGUCCAAUUAUUUUUAAAGCCCAAUAAAAUUGUGAAUAGUUUAAAAAGAAGUUACCCUGCCUUCAAGAGAUAUUUGCUUAUACAUUCAUUUCUGCAGUUUUAAAUAUUUUCACUUCUUUAUUAUGGCAUUGCUGUACAACAAAUAUCAAUUUCAUUUUGUUAUUCUUGCUGAGCAUUAUUGCUCAUUCUUGCUAUUCCUUCUAACCCUUUUCAGCUAGGAAUAAAGAUGAUUCACUUAAGACUAGGCAAGGAUUGCAAGUGGUUGAGUUUCAAGCAGAUGGACAGGUAGAGUAUUUAGGACGAUGUCAUUAAGACUAGAUGCAGUUGGAGUUCUGCAAUUCAAUUCAGUUGGAAAUUAGAUUUGUUUAUUUGGUUAUCAGCUACUCUUCUUAUCGAGGUUUAGCUGAUAAUGUUGUUUAAUUUGUAAAUAAGAUUUUAUAGUUUUAGUUUCUGAUUUCAA